AUUGAACGCUGGCGGCAUGCCUUACACAUGCAAGUCGAACGGUAACAGGUUAAGCUGACGAGUGGCGAACGGGUGAGUAAUGUAUCGGAACGUGCCCAGUCGUGGGGGAUAACUACUCGGAAGAGAGGCUAAUACCGCAUACGACCUGAGGGUGAAAGCGGGGGACCGUAAGGCCUCGAGCGAUUGGAGCGGCCGAUAGCAGAUUAGCUAGUUGGUGGGGUAAAAGCCCACCAAGGCGACGAUCUGUAGCUGGUCUGAGAGGACGACCAGCCACACUGGGACUGAGACACGGCCCAGACUCCUACGGGAGGCAGCAGUGGGGAAUUUUGGACAAUGGACGCAAGUCUGAUCCAGCCAUGCCGCGUGCGGGAAGAAGGCCUUCGGGUUGUAACCGCUUUUGUCAGGGAAGAAACGAGUUUCUCUAAUACAGAGACUUAAUGGCGGUACCUGAAGAAUAAGCACCGGCUAACUACGUGCCAGCAGCCGCCGUAACAC
rnacentral:rRNA from 1 species